rnacentral:rRNA from 1 species
CUUGGUCAUUUAGAGGAAGUAAAAGUCGUAACAAGGUUUCCGUAGGUGAACCUUCGGAAGGAUCAUUACCGAGUGCCGGGCGCAAGCCCGUCUUCGCACACCCUCUGUCGACUCUCCGCAGUUGCUUCGGCGGCGUGCCCUCGCGGGCCCCGCCGGAGGACCAACCCGAACGCAUGGCAAACCGGUCUGUCCGAGGCUAUACGCGAAAUCAGUCAAAGCUUUCAACAACGGAUCUCUUGGUUCGGGCAUCGAUGAAGAACGCAGCGAAAUGCGAUACGUAAUGUGAAUUGCAGAAUUCAGUGAAUCAUCGAAUCUUUGAACGCACAUUGCGCCCGUCGGCAUUCCGACGGGCACGCCUGUUCGAGCGUCAUUGCACCCGUCAAGCCUCGCUUGGUGUUGGGGGACGUCGCGCCACGCGCGACCCCCCCGGAACCCGUUGGCGGUGGCCCUUCGCCCCGAUCGUCGCGCUCGUUACGACGGCGCGGGGGGACCGCCCGCCCAACUGGCCGGCAACGGCCACACAACACGCAACGCUUGACCUCGAAUCAGGUGGGGAUACCCGCUGAACUUAAGCAUAUCAAUAAGCGGAGGA